AUUGAACGCUGGCGGCAGGCUUAACACAUGCAAGUCGAGCGGGGGAGGUUGCUUCGGUAACUGACCUAGCGGCGGACGGGUGAGUAAUGCUUAGGAAUCUGCCUAUUAGUGGGGGACAACAUUCCGAAAGGGAUGCUAAUACCGCAUACGCCCUACGGGGGAAAGCAGGGGAUCUUCGGACCUUGCGCUAAUAGAUGAGCCUAAGUCGGAUUAGCUAGUUGGUGGGGUAAAGGCCUACCAAGGCGACGAUCUGUAGCGGGUCUGAGAGGAUGAUCCGCCACACUGGGACUGAGACACGGCCCAGACUCCUACGGGAGGCAGCAGUGGAGAAUAUUGGACAAUGGGCGGAAGCCUGAUCCAGCCAUGCCGCGUGUGUGAAGAAGGCCUUUUGGUUGUAAAGCACUUUAAGCGAGGAGGAGGCUCUUAAGGUUAAUACCCUUGAUGAGUGGACGCUACUCGCAGAAUAAGCACCGGCUAACUCUGUGCCAGCAGCCGCCGUAAAAC
rnacentral:rRNA from 1 species